rnacentral:tRNA from 1 species
GCCCGCUUAGCUCAGUGGUAGAGCGCGUCACUAGUACCUCCCGCGCUUGCGGACGACUUUCCAGUCAUGACGAGGUCGGUUGUUCGAUCCAGCCAGCGGGCA